rnacentral:tRNA from 1 species
UAACCCUACCCCCAGGGGAAGUCGAAUCCCCGCUGCCUCCUUGAAAGGGGAGAUGUCUAA